CAAUAGCGUAUAUUAAAGUUGUUGCGGUAAAAAAGCUCGUAGUUGGAUUUCUACCGAAGAUAGCCGGUCGGGUCUUCGACCUUGUAUCUGGUUUUGUCUUUGGUAUCCUCAUAGGGAACGUUUCUGCGCUUUAUUGCGUGGUGCGGUAUCUAUGACUUUUACUUUGAGGAAAUUAGAGUGUUCACGGCAGGCAAACGCCUUGAAUAUAUUAGCAUGGAAUAAUAACAUAGGAUCUUCAUCCUAUUUUGUUGGUUUCUAGGGCUAAGAUAAUGAUUAAUAGGGAUAAUUGGGGGCAUCUGUAUCAACGCGUCAGAGGUGGAAUUCUUGGAUUGCGUUGCGACAAACUACUGCGAAAGCAUUUGCCAAGGAUGUUUUCAUUGA
rnacentral:rRNA from 1 species